rnacentral:rRNA from 1 species
AUGCGUGUGGGAAAUGGUUCCAAAGUCGAUGUGAUCGCGGUCGGCAUGCUACCUCUACAUCUACCUUCGGGAUUAGUUUUAGACCUGAAUAAUUGUUAUUUGGUGCCAUCGUUAAGCAUGAACAUUAUAUCUAGAUCUUGUUUGAUGCGAGAUGGUUAUUCAUUUAAAUCAGAGAAUAAUGGCUGUUCUAUUUAUAUGAGUAAUAUCUUUUAUGGUCAUGCACCCUUGAUGAGUGGCCUAUUUUUGUUGAAUCUCGAUAGUAGUGAUACACAUAUUCAUAAUAUUGAAGCCAAAAGAUGCAAGGUUAAUAAUGAUAGUGCAACUUAUUUGUGGCACUGCCGUUUAGGUCAUAUUGGUGUAAAGCGCAUGAAGAAACUCCAUGCUGAUGGGCUUUUGGAAUCACUUGAUUAUGAAUCACUUGAUGCUUGCAAACCAUGCAUCAUGAGAAGAUGA